UUGCAGUACUUACUUUUCCCCGACUGGUUCCUUACUCCAGCAUUAUUUCAUACCAAACUUUUGUAACUUCGUGUUUGUGUAGAUUCACAUGUGAGCAGCCAUUGCGAUCAUGCUUUUUGCCUAGCGCCCUCUCGCGGCCAACUAAACUUUUUUUAACAGCGCGCGCCGCCUAGAAUUUGGCUCAACUAUGCGAUGGGCGUAGCGAGCGUGCAAGUUUUGCAUUCCAACGCGCUUUGUUUAAGCGGAAUAGUUGACAUUCCGGGCGUUUUGGUAUAGUUUUCUUGUAGGGCCUGCUGCGGAAUAUUGUUGAUUUCGAUCCAACACAUCGUUGAAUUCAGACCAUCUAUUACGAGCGCUUACACUCUCCACUUUUAUUGCAAUUUUGAGAGAGGCUCCCUAUACUAGCAGUAAAAUAUUUACAUCUACAUUGUAUUUUCACUGCUGAUCGUCGAUUUUCACAUCGGAGUAGGCAUGAACGUAGAUCUUCCCAAGUGAUUAAUAUCCUUGGAGCUACUUCAUUAGCCAUUUCCCUUUUGACUGUCGUUUUUUAUACACCCAACCAAGUUUCUAAUAUAAUUCUUGUGUAAAUACCUAAUAAUUUGUAUAUAUAUUGUCUCUAUUUGUAUUAUAAAUAAACCAUUUCAUAUUUGUGAGACAACAGAAAA
rnacentral:lncRNA from 1 species